UACGUAGGCAGCAAGCGUUGUUCGGAGUUACUGGGCGUAAAGGGUGCGUAGGCGGUUGUUUAAGUUUGGUGUGAAAUCUCCCGGCUCAACUGGGAGGGUGCGCCGAAUACUGAAUGACUAGAGUGCGGGAGAGGAGAGUGGAAUUCCUGGUGUAGCGGUGAAAUGCGUAGAUAUCAGGAGGAACACCUGUGGCGAAAGCGGCGCACUGGACCAUAACUGACGCUGAGGCGCGAAAGCUAGGGGAGCAAACAGG
rnacentral:rRNA from 1 species